rnacentral:rRNA from 1 species
CCUACGGGUGACAGCAGUAGGGAAUCUUCCACAAUGGGCGAAAGCCUGAUGGAGCAACGCCGCGUGGGUGAAGAAGGUCUUCGGAUCGUAAAGCCCUGUUGUUAGGGAAGAAAAUGAGUGAGAGUAAAUGUUACCGUUCGGACGGUACCUACCCAGAAAGCACCGGCAAACUACGUGCCAGCAGCCGCGGUAAUACGGAGGUGGCAAGCGUUAUCCGGAUUUAUUGGGCGGGAAUGGAACGCAGGCGGUUUUUUAAGUCUGAUGGGAAAGCCUCGGGCUUAACCGGAGUAGUGCAUUGGAGACUGGGAGACUGGAGUGCAGAAGAGGAGAGUGGAACUCCAUGUGUAGCGGUGAAAUGCGUAGAUAUAUGGAAGAACACCAGUGGCGAAGGCGGCUCACUGGUCUGUAACUGACGCUGAGGUUCGAAAGCGUGGGUAGCAAACAGGAUUAGAUACCCUGGUAGUC